GCCUUUGUGGUGCAACGGCAGCACACUUGGCGCGUAUUCGAGAGGUCCAGGUUCGAGUCCCGGCGACGGCA
rnacentral:tRNA from 1 species